CCUACGGGUGGCAGCAGUAAGGGAUAUUGGUCUAUGGGGGAAACCCUGAACCAGCAACGCCGCGUGCGGGUAGACGGUUUUCGGAUUGUAAACCUCUUUUGUCAGGGAGCAAAGGGCGCCACGUGUGGCGUUUUGCGAGUACCUGAAGAACAAGCAUCGGCUAACUCCGUGCCAGCAGCCGCGGUAAUACGGUGGAUGAGAGCGUUAUCCGGAUUUAUUGGGUUUAAAGGGUGCGCAGGCGGAAUGUCAAGUCAGCGGUAAAAUUUCGGGGCUCAACCCCGUCGUGCCGUUGAAACUGGCGUUCUUGAGUGAGCGAGAAGUAUGCGGAAUGCGUGGUGUAGCGGUGAAAUGCAUAGAUAUCACGCAGAACUCCGAUUGCGAAGGCAGCAUACCGGCGCUCAACUGACGCUCAUGCACGAAAGCGUGGGUAUCGAACAGGAUUAGAUACCCGUGUAGUC
rnacentral:rRNA from 1 species